CGGUUAAGUUAGAAAGGGCGCACGGUGGAUGCCUUGGCACUAGGAGCCGAUGAAGGACGGGACGAACACCGAUAUGCUUCGGGGAGCUGUAAGCAAGCUUUGAUCCGGAGAUUUCCGAAUGGGGAAACCCACUGCUCGUAAUGGAGCAGUAUCCAUAUCUGAAUUCAUAGGAUAUGAGAAGGCAGACCCGGGGAACUGAAA
rnacentral:rRNA from 1 species